rnacentral:rRNA from 1 species
UACGAAGGGGGCUAGCGUUGCUCGGAAUCACUGGGCGUAAAGGGUGCGUAGGCGGGUCUUUUAAGUCAGGGGUGAAAUCCUGGAGGCUCAACUCCAGAACUACCUUUGAUACUGAGGAUCUUGAGUAUGGGAGAGGUGAGUGGAACUGCGAGUGUAGAGGUGAAAUUCGUAGAUAUUCGCAAGAACACCAGUGGCGAAGGCGGCUCACUGGCCCAUUACUGACGCUGAGGCACGAAAGCGUGGGGAGCAAACAGG